rnacentral:rRNA from 1 species
GUGCAAAGGUAGCAUAAUCAUUUGUUCUCUAAAUAAGGACUUGUAUGAAUGGCCACACGAGGGUUUUACUGUCUCUUACUUCCAAUCAGUGAAAUUGACCUCCCCGUGAAGAGGCGGGGAUAAAUCAACAAGACGAGAAGACCCUAUGGAGCUUUAACUAAGUAACUCAAGGAAAAUAAAUUCAACCACCAAGGGAUAACAACACUCCUUAUGAGUUAACAGUUUCGGUUGGGGUGACCUCGGAGAACAGAAAAUCCUCCGAGCGAUUUUAAAGACUAGACUAACAAGUCAAACCAAACCAUCGCUUAUUGAUCCAAAAACUUGAUCAACGGAACAAGUUACCCUAGGGAUAACAGCGCAAUCCUAUUCAAGAGUCCAUAUCGACAAUAGGGUUUACGACCUCGAUGUUGGAUCAGGACA